rnacentral:lncRNA from 1 species
GCAGACUUGAAUAGAACUAAAAGGAAGAGGAAGGGCAAAUUUGUUGGCUGCUUGAGCUGGGAUAUUCAUCUUUCUCCUGAUCUUGGACAUCAGAACUCCUGAUUCUCAAGCCUUUGGGUUUGGACUGGAGGCACCAGCUUUCCUGGGCCUCCAGCUUGCAGAUGGCAUAUCAUGGAACUUCUCAGCCUCCAAAUUCAUAACUCUAAUACACCAGUACAAUGGAAAGAUUCCUAAAUUCAAAAGCCAGAAGGCUGGGUUCCUGUUCCCACCCUGCCUUUUACCUUCUGUGUGUUCCUGAUGAAGACACUUCAUGCUCCACUAUUUACUUACCUCUGAAACGAAGGGCUGACCCAGAUCAGUUGUUCUCUGACCUGCUUGGAGGGACUCAGAGGCUGUGGAGCAACAGAUUUGGGAAUGAGGAAUCGUUCCCUGGAAGAGUCAGAGCGCUCGUAGACACAUUCUGCUGGAUUGCACGAGCUCCUCCCCUGGGAAAUCCACUAAGACUAGAGGAAAGAAUUGCUUGGAGGAUUCAGAGGCUGAAGAGUGGACAGACGGCUUUAAUUGAGAAAAAGAAGCAGAAAAUUGAGGAAGAUGUGAGGCAUCAAUGCCAGCAGACGACAUGUGACAGGUGCUAGCCACAUGGAUCACACUAAAUUUCUGUCAUUUAUAUAGAUAAAAAAGAAUUUCCAAAGAGCUCCUCCAUAAUUCAGCAUUAACCAGCUUUAAAUCAUCACCUUUCUUUACCUUUUCAAAGCACUUUUAUCUAGCUAGCUUUCACUUUCAGAGUGGCCAAUUCAGGUGAGGAUUCUCAAUCCUGUUCUGCAGCUGAGGAACUCAUGCUCAAAAGGGCUAAGAGUUUAUUCUCUUACAUCCAAACACCUUGCUUUUCCAAAUCUUGUGCUCACUUUACCUACACAUUUUGAUUUUUCCAGGCUGAUGACAAGUUAGACAUGCAGACUCCUCAGGCUCAUUCAUAAUCUGUAUAGACAUUACAGGUCAUGCAAAUUUAAGAAAAGGCUAAAAGGUGCCCGUUUGCACCCAACAUGUUGGAUAAUGCCCCGGUAAAGUGGAAAAUCAGUUUCCACAGCCUCGCUCUGUAGGUUUCCUUGGAAUUGUAAAAGCAUAGGACUCUGCCUCAUAUUUAUUUCUAUACGGCAAUGAGGAUAUAAAGGAGCAGACCGAAAAGAGAAAGGAAUUUUAAAAGCCAUGGAAAGCUGCCCUAAAUGUGGUUGGAUAUAGAGAGGAGAGUGCUGAAGGCAAACAGCUGUGCCCUCUUUGCCUUUUUGCUGAGGAAGGGGAUUUAAGCCAAAAGAACACACGUAAACGUGGAUUUCUUAAAGUUCUCACUGUAAUUAUGUAGCCUUGGGAGAUGAGGAAUUGUAAAGUAGAUGCUGGCUUAAACAAAUGAUAAAUCCUUGAGGUGAUGGGCACCCCAUUUUCCCUGAUGUGAUUAUUACACAUAGCAUUCCUGUAUCAAAAUAUCCCAUGUAACCCAUAAAUAUAUAUACCUACCAGUAUAUUUCUGUGGCUAAUCUGAAAGCCACCUGCACCCUUGUGAAGACACCCACAGAGACUUCUGCCUCCCCUCCUACCCUCUGGCCUCAAGAGCUCCCUGGGCUCUCCUGUUGCAGGAGGGAGAGGGAGAGCUUCUUUAGGUUCCUGGUAAGGAUCUCUGAAGACAAUUCCUUAGGCUUGGAUAAUUCCCAGACAUUUGCUAAAAAGCAGCAUCCUCCAAAGCUUUAAUUUGGAUCACAGGAAAAUGAUGCUCCCGCCUCAGAUUCAAACACAGUUUUAUCUCACACUGCAAGCUCCCUGGCAUGGGCAAAGUCCUCGAUGCCUUUCCUGGUGGUUUCCAACAUCAAGGACAUACUUGUUCCUCCUCCUAGCUCUCUCCCUCAGCCAAGUCCUUCCUUACAAUGAAUUGUCCUGCAGAACUCCCUCUUAAGCUUGGCUUCUGGGACAGAAAACCUACUUUCUGAAAGGGUAUGGGGACUGUCAGAGCAUGAACUGGACUCAAGCUCCCAAUUACAGAGCAGACACAAGGCUCUGCCUGCACCAGGCCAUCCCUGGAUUUCUGCAGCUCCAGGACUCUCUUCCAGCAUCUAGAUGCAGCUACUCUCAUUCCAGCUUUGUGUCCUGUUUGAUGCAAAAUCUUUAUUCCUUCCUGUUUCAAUCCCUGUUGCAUAUUCUGUGUGACAAAGCAAGAAGCUGGAAAUCGAGUUCUGAGCUUUAUACCCAGCUCUGCCACAAAUGUGCCAUGACCUUGAAUAAGUCACAUGACUUAUCUGGACCUGGAUUCUCUCAUCUGUAAAAGAGGAAGCUGAGCUAUACUACUUUUAAAAUGUCUCCAGCUUUAAUUUUAUUAGAAUAUCAGCUGCUUCCUCCUCUGGUUUCUCAUGGCAGGUUGUGCAUUCUUCUCUGGAGACACCAAAUUUCAUUGGAGUAUCUCUCCUUACAAAUGUAUUUCCCCACUAGAUUGGCCCCUCAAGAACAAGGAUUGUAUUUUAGUUACCUCUGUUAUCUCUGUACCUGGGGAGGAGUGAGAAAAGGAGAGCAGGAAAGGCAAUGGUAUAGUACCAACAUUUGUUGAGCUUCUAUUAUGAGGAAUUGUCUAUGCUACACAUUGUACAUAAAGUAUGUAUGAUUCACAGUAUAAACAUUAUAAUCUGGAAUCAACCUAAAUGUUCAUUAGCAGAUGAAUGGAUAAAGAAAAUGUGGUAUAUAGACGCAACACAAUACUAUACAGCCAU